AACGCACAUUGCACCUUCUAGUAUUCUGGAGGGUAUGCCUGUUUGAGCGUCAUUACAACCGUCAAGCACUGCUUGGUAUUGGAUGUCACUUCUGUGGUGCAUCUCAAAAGUAUUGGCAGUUGCAUCUAGCUUCUAGUGUAGUAAAUUUCUCGCUAUGGAGUUGGGUGUUUAACCACCAGAACCCCUAAUAUUUUAUGAAGUUGACCUCAGAUCAGGUAGGGAUACCCGCUGAACUUAA
rnacentral:misc_RNA from 1 species